GAUGAACGCUGGCGGCGUGCCUAAUACAUGCAAGUCGAGCGAACAGACGAGAGUGGUUGCCCUCUCUGACGGUAGCGGCGGGGGCGUGAGUGACACGUGGGUAACCUACCUAUUAGACUGGGAUAAACGCGGGAAACCGGAGCUAAAAACGGAAAAUAUUUAGCUGCGCAUGAAGCAAGAGUGAAAGACGGUUCUGGUGUCACUGAUAGGAGGACCCGCGGUGUAUUAGCUAGUUGGAGGGGUAACGGCUCACCAAGGCAACGAUCCGUAGCCGACCUGAGAGGGUGAUCGGCCACACUGGAACUGAGACACGGCCCAGACUCCUACGGGAGGCAGCAGUAGGGAAUCUUCCGCAAUGGACGAAAGUCUGACGGAGCAAUGCCGCGUGAGUGAAGAAGGUUUUCGGAUCGUAAAACUCUGUUGUAAGGGAAGAACAAGUACGUUAGUAACUGAACUUACCUUGACGGUACCUUACCAGAAAGCCACGGCUAACUACGUG
rnacentral:rRNA from 1 species